rnacentral:tRNA from 1 species
GCUGGUGUUGCUCAAUGGUUGGAGUGUCGGCCCGCAAUCCGAAGGGUCAUGGGUUCGAUUCCCAGUCAAGGGCA